CACCCAACAACCACACCCCUCCUCGGAGAAGCCCCAGAGCACAGCUCCUCACCAUGAACUGGACCUGGAGGAUCCUCUUCUUGGUGGCAGCGGCUACAGGUGCCCACUCCCAGGUGCAGCUGGUGCAGUCUGGGCCAGAGCUGAAGCAGCCUGGGGCAUCGGUGAAGGUCUCCUGCAAGGCUUCUGGAUACACCUUCACCAGCUAUGCUAUCCACUGGGUGCGACAGGCCCCUGGACAAGGGCUUGAGUGGAUGGGAUGGAUCAACACCGACACCGGGAAGCCAACAUAUGCCCAGGGCUUCACAGGACGGUUUGUCUUCUCCAUGGACACCUCGGUCAGCACAGCAUAUAUUCAGGUCAGCAGCCUGAAGGCUGAGGACACGGCCGUGUAUUACUGUGCCAGAGACACAGUGUGACAACCCGCAUCCUGAGAGUGUCAGAAACCCUGAGAGAGGAGGCUGCUGAGCUGAGCUGAGGCCGUGGUACAGCAGUUUCCUUAACUUCCACAUUAUAUCGUUUAGCAUUGACUUCCCCUUUUACAUGAGCCAAGAAUGUGGGAUAGAUGGUUGCUCCUAAGAGAUCCUUAACUAGCCCAUUCUUAAGGGUUUUCCAGAAUAUGUGAGAAGCCACUUUGUUUGCAAAGCAGCCCAAAGUCACGCCCUGUUCCAGACACAUGUGUGCCCAUUCCUGGUCUUCGGGUAACUGACAAGCACUUAUCAGUGCACCUGGGCUAAUUUCACAUCAGGAAGAGGAACUCAUGUUCUCUAGGAAAGCUAACGUUGGAAUAGCAAUUCCAGCUUAACAACCUUCAGCUUCAUUGUUGUGUGAUCCAUCAGCUAAUUAUGUUAGUUCAAGGUUCUCAGUGGGAGUUUCUGAUAAAUCUAAGGGAUGAAUAGAAGUUCCCCUAAUCAAAAUAACACACUUGUGAACAAAAACUCAGCAUUCAGCCAUGUCUUCACCCUUCACACUGUUCACCACAGAGUAAUUUUCACCUCUCCUGGAAGUCGGGUUCAUUUUCAAAUUAGCUUUUCUUUUAAUUUUAAUAUCUCAAGAAUAUUGUAUGUGACUAUUUUAACAGAAAGUGAAUUAUGGGAACUUGAACUAAGCAACUGAAAAUAAAUUCACAACUAAUUAAACAAGAUGCCAGAAU